GGUUAAGCGACUAAGCGUACACGGUGGAUGCCCUGGCAGUCAGAGGCGAUGAAGGGCGUGCUAAUCUGCGAUAAGCGCCGGUAAGGUGAUAUGAACCGUUAUAACCGGCGAUACCCGAAUGGGGAAACCCAGUGUGACUCGUCACACUAUCAUUAACUGAAUCCAUAGGUUAAUGAGGCGAACCGGGGGAACUGAAACAUCUAAGUACCCCGAGGAAAAGAAAUCAACCGAGAUUCCCCCAGUAGCGGCGAGCGAACGGGGAGGAGCCCAGAGCCUGAAUCAGCAUGUGUGUUAGUGGAAGCGUCUGGAAAGGCGUGCGAUACAGGGUGACAGCCCCGUACACAAAAGCGCAUGUGCUGUGAGCUCGAUGAGUAGGGCGGGACACGUGGUAUCCUGUCUGAAUAUGGGGGGACCAUCCUCCAAGGCUAAAUACUCCUGACUGACCGAUAGUGAACCAGUACCGUGAGGGAAAGGCGAAAAGAACCCCGGCGAGGGGAGUGAAAAAGAACCUGAAACCGUGUACGUACAAGCAGUGGGAGCACCCUUUGGGGUGUGACUGCGUACCUUUUGUAUAAUGGGUCAGCGACUUAUAUUCUGUAGCAAGGUUAACCGUAUAGGGGAGCCG
rnacentral:rRNA from 1 species